rnacentral:rRNA from 1 species
GACGAACGCUGGCGGCGUGCCUAAUACAUGCAAGUUGAGCGAUGAAGAUUGGUGCUUGCACCAAUUUGAAGAGCAGCGAACGGGUGAGUAACGCGUGGGGAAUCUGCCUUUGAGCGGGGGACAACAUUUGGAAACGAAUGCUAAUACCGCAUAACAACUUUAAACAUAAGUUUUAAGUUUGAAAGAUGCAAUUGCAUCACUCAAAGAUGAUCCCGCGUUGUAUUAGCUAGUUGGUGAGGUAAAGGCUCACCAAGGCGAUGAUACAUAGCCGACCUGAGAGGGUGAUCGGCCACAUUGGGACUGGGACACGGCCCAAACUCCUACGGGAGGCAGCAGUAGGGAAUCUUCGGCAAUAGACGAAAGUCUGACCGAGCAACGCCGCGUGAGUGAAGAAGGUUUUCGGAUCGUAAAACUCUGUUGGUAGAGAAGAACGUUGGUGAGAGUGGAAAGCUCAUCAAGUGACGGUAACUACACAGAAAGGAACGGCUAACUACGUG